AUACGGAGGAUGCGAGCGUUAUCCGGAUUUAUUGGGUUUAAAGGGUGCGUAGGCGGUUUUUUAAGUCAGCGGUGAAACGCAAGGGCUCAACCCUUGACCUGCCGUUGAAACUGGAGGACUUGAAUGCGGAUGCUGUGGGAGGAAUGUGUGGUGUAGCGGUGAAAUGCAUAGAUAUCACACAGAACACCGAUUGCGAAGGCAUCUCACAAAUCCGUGAUUGACGCUGAGGCACGAAAGUGUGGGGAUCAAACAGGAUUAGAUACCCUGGUAGUCCACACUGUAAACGAUGAUGACUCGCGGUCGGCGAUAUACAGUCGGUGGCCAAGCGAAAGCGAUAAGUCAUCCCCCUGGGGAGUACGACCGCAAGGUUGAAACUCAAAGGAAUUGACGGGG
rnacentral:rRNA from 1 species